rnacentral:rRNA from 1 species
CCUACGGGAGGCAGCAGUGAGGAAUAUUGGUCAAUGGCCGGAAGGCUGACCCAGCCAUGCCGCGUGAAGGUCAGUGCCCUAUGGGCGUUAAACUUCUUUUGUGCGGGAGCAAUAAUGGUCACGUGUGGCCAGACGAGAGUACCGUACAAAUAAGCAUAGGCUAACUCCGUGCAAGCAGCCGCGGUAAUACGGGGGAUGCAAGCGUUAUCCGGAUUUAUUGGGUUUAAAGGGUGCGUAAGCUGUGAGGUAAGUCAGCGGUGAAAUGCCCCCGCUCAACGGGGUGAAGUGCCAUUGAUACUGCAUUGCUGGAGUGCAGAUGCCGAGGGAGGAAUGUGUGGUGUAGCGGUGAAAUGCAUAGAGAUCACACAGAACACCGAUUGCGAAGGCAUCUCACGAAUCCGCGAUUGACGCUGAUGCACGAAAGCGUGGGUAUCAAACAGGAUUAGAUACCCUUGUAGUC